AUACCAAGGUUGAAAGGUCGGAAGUGCUCCGGCAAGCUUGCUUGCAGGAGCACUUUUGAACUUGCAACCCGCUAAAAACAUGAGUAAGCAGCCAUCUUCUCAGAAAAAUGAGCGGAUCACGAAUGUUUUUGAAAAUCGUGGGAGCACGAAGUGCGGAACGAUUUGA
rnacentral:sRNA from 1 species